AAUCCCGCCAGGUGUGCCGGCGCUGGGUGGUGGACGGCUGGGACCUGUGGCGGAGCAUCCUGCCCUGGAAACACCCGGACCUGUGGCCCGUCAUCCGCACCUGCCUGCCCCCUGCUGACGACCCCGGACCCUGCAUCCUGGGCCGCUUCUGCGAGCGCAGACCCAUAGGACGCAACCUCCUCCGGGACUCUCAGAGCUCUCGUGGCCUAGGUGGUUUCUAAAGAAGGAAGUAUUGGACCUAGGGGAAGAGAGCCAGAACUCCUGGAUAGUGG
ensembl:lncRNA